rnacentral:rRNA from 1 species
CUUCCGUAGGGUGAACCUGCGGAGGGAUCAUU